rnacentral:rRNA from 1 species
UACGGAGGGUGCGAGCGUUGUCCGGAAUCACUGGGCGUAAAGCGCACGUAGGCGGAUUUGUAAGUCAGGGGUGAAAUCCCGGGGCUCAACCUCGGAACUGCCUUUGAUACUGCGAAUCUUGAGUCCGAUAGAGGUGGGUGGAAUUCCUAGUGUAGAGGUGAAAUUCGUAGAUAUUAGGAAGAACACCGGUGGCGAAGGCGGCCCACUGGAUCGGUACUGACGCUGAGGUGCGAAAGCGUGGGGAGCAAACAGG